CCUUAUUUAUGUGAAUAUUUGGUUGAGAAACAUCUAUUUAUUUUUUUUAAAUUUCAUUAAUUUCAAUAUUUCUCCCACUGCCUCUUUCUAGGAUAAAUUCUUUCUCCAUGAAAGUGGCAUGCCUACUUAUAAAUACCUUUUGUUCAGUAGGGUGGUAGAAUAGAUAUCCUAUACUAUCCUUAGGAUAUCCUAUAAACAAAUAUUUAUCUGCUCUAGCAUCUAGCU
rnacentral:lncRNA from 1 species